rnacentral:rRNA from 1 species
UACGGGGGGAGCAAGCGUUGUUCGGAUUUACUGGGCGUAAAGGGCGCGUAGGCGGCCUGCUAAGUCGAACGUGAAAUCCCUGGGCUCAACCCAGGAACUGCGUCCGAUACUGGUUGGCUUGAAUCCGGGAGAGGGACGUGGAAUUCCAGGUGUAGCGGUGAAAUGCGCAGAUAUCGAGAGGAACACCUGCGGCGAAGGCGGGUUGCUGGGCUGACACUGACGCUGAUGCGCGAAAGCUAGGGGAGCGAACGGG